AGUGGAGAGGGGUGUGGGGGCCAGGUCAGCAGGGUGGGGGUCUGUCUCGUUUCCCUCUUGCCCCCGGGUCUCCAUACCCGCUGCGUCCAGCCGCCCUGCCUGGGUGGAGUGGCCGUGGCCCCAAGCCUAAGAGGAUAUGGGGGUCACUGAGGGGGCGGUGGAGAUCGGACACGUGCGACCCCAGGUGUCGUGGGCUCCUGCCGCGAGGUGGUCCCGUGCGCGCAGUCCCAUGGUCCCGGUGCACCUGCGCAGGCUCCACCUGCCUCGACCUUUGGGGGGAGCACCUCCCCGCCCCCAAGGCUCCCGCGCCACGUCCUGCCCAAAGGUGGGAGCCAGGGGCCACUCUGGCCGGACUGGUGAAGCUCCUCCUCCAAGCGCUCAUGGAACAGUCGGGAAACUGAGGCCAGGAGAGGCAGGGACUGGCCGGGGACCCGCCAGACGGUGGGUCCGGUCUCACCCCCGAAGCCUCUGGUCACGUGCCCGGAGGGACGCAAAGGUGACACCGGGAGGCCCAGGACUGGCCACUCUAGCCUGACACGGCCCUGAUCCGACUGAAAUCAACCGAUGAAAUCGGGAAACGUCUGGCCGAAUCCCGAUACACCUGCCCUACAGAGUUGUGCGUGUGCCCCGUUGGCCAAGAGGGCCAUCCUGGACCGAGGGAGAGAGUGGCUGCAGGGAGGUCUUGGGAAGCAGAGCCUGGAGAUGACCUGGGAAGGCCUCCUUCACCGCCCCGGCUCCCCCACAGGGUCCUGGUUCACGGGUCCUGGGAACAGGACCCGGAGCCCCCGGAGCCAGAGCCCGAGGAGUCCGGGACAGGAGCAGAAGCCGGUGCGGCGCCAGAGCCCGACCCAAGGGCAUCGGGGUCCUCGGCGUCUCUGCAGGCAGGGGUGGAGUCUGGGGCGACUCCUGCAGGGGCUGGAGAGCCAGCAGGUGACCUGGGACCUGUGCUGGGACAGCAAGCACCUGAACAGAGUCAGCUGGUUCCUGCUUCUGCUCCCGACACUGUUCCUGCCACCGCCCUUGUUCCCCUGUGGAUUCCGGCCACAAAUCCAGGGCUCAAAGGCCUUCGAGGGGUGUUUCUUGUAUUUCUAAUUGUUGCUCCAGUCCCAGUCCCCGACCCCU